UUUUUUUUUUUCUAAUUUGUUUCUAAAAUUUUCUACAUUCAAAUGAAUAUUUGAACUGAGAAAAUGUUUUUCUUUGCAAAUGAAGUUUACAUAAUGUACAAAAACAGCAAAUUUUAACUCCACUGAGUGCUGUUUUCUGUGUAACAUUUCCCUGUCAACAUUGUUUUGAUUGCACUUUUUCUUAAAAACUCUUGACAUAGAUAUUAUCAAGUCUCUCUCUCUCUAGUCCAUAGAAAAGGAUCUGUUUUUGACCCAUGGGAUAAGUAACAUAUCAUUUUACACACCAAACAUUUGUGGCAUCUUUUACAAUGCAUCGCGAAGGAACCUGAAGUCCAGGUUAGAUAGAUCAACUGGGGCACAUUUAAUUGAGGUUCAGAACUUAGUCUCAGGCAGUGAAGUGACUUCUGUCUGCAGGCAAGUGAAGGGUCUUCUGUGGCUGUGGUUUUGCACAUACACAUUCUCCCCUCACUUUCCAUGGCGAUUCCUUCAGAUGAAGGGUGAGCACAGAGCACAAGAGCAAAUGUGGGGAGAAGGGGAAGAGAGAAGGGGAGAAUGGGAAGCAUUUCUCAUUCCCCAUCUUGUUUCUUCUAUUUUGAACACCAGCCCUGGCUAUGAUUUUCAGGGUUCUGUGGCUUUAUCUUCCUAGCUGGCUUUUCAGCUGCAGCACUUUGCUUUGGAACCUGAGCUGGCUUUGUCACCGGUCCAUGGACCCUGCCGGCCUGGUAGGUUGGAUACCAUGGGGUAGUGGAAGCUUGUGGUCUCAUGACCAAGUCUGAAAGGUUUGAGCAAUAUCCAUGAUCUUUCAGGUUGGACCUUUCUGGACAUGUUUUCUUGUAACGGUUAUAAAAGGUGUUUUCAUACUGUGAUUACAUUCCAUUAUUAUGACAUGUUUUUCAGGUUGGCCUCAACAGUAUAACAGUUGAAAGUGGAAAUGUGUCAAGAAGGUUUUAGUUGACCUGGUGUUCAAAUAAGGUCCUGCCUGGAUGACAUUAUGCCUUCAUUAGGGUUGUCUUUUGGGGAUCAAUAGGGUUUCAGAAGAACAUUUUGCCCUCUUCAGAUGUUAGCUGACAUGUCUGUUGUUGCUUCUGGUUUUGCCAAGCCCCUUGCCCAUUUCCUUUAGUUUGGAAAACUGCCACCCACUUGUGGGUACGUUUUGAUACCACUAAUUUUUAUUUUUGAACUCUGAAUCCUUUUUUUACAUACCUGUAUAUAUUCAGCGAAGCAAAGAAGUCAGUACGACUUUCUCUGAUGAUGCAAAUAAAAAUGAAAACCCUCUUCAUUUUCCUGGGUUACAGCCACAAAACAGAAGUACAUGUAAUAAUCAUUAUUGACCUCAAUAUGUUGUGUGCACGAUAACAUUAAACCAUUUGAAGGAAACAGUAAGUCCUGGUAACACAACCCAAAAUAUCCAAAAUGCAUUCUCCUGGAAUCACAGAGAGAUCAGAGUGUCCAGUCAGGCCUUGGUAGAAGUCUCCCCGCUCCGUGGAGUCGCCAGAUCUUCAAGUGAAGCUGAUUGGCUGCUAGGGCUGGAACCGCUGUGUUCUUGAACCGAAAGGCCUGCUUAGCCAGGCAUACACUGUCCCCAACACCCAGCGUCCAACAGGUUGCUGCGUUUCGCUGUUUUUCCAUGGAAACCAAAUUUCUUCGUAUUUCUUUUAAAAAAGAUUUUAUUUGACAGACGAAUAGAGAGAGAGCACCACGGGGCAGGAGGGACAGAGGCAGAGGACCAAACAGACAUUCUGCUGAGCAGGGAGCCCAAUGGGCACUCGAUCCCAGUACCAGUGAGGUUACAACCUGAGCUGAAUGCAGUCGCUUCACCCACUGGGCCACCAGGUGCCCGAAAGCCAAAUUUCCUUGGAGGAAUGCUUAAUUGUGGCCUUUCCCACGUCUGAAAUCUGAGCCCAGCAGGGCAGGCGCUGCACCAAGGCUGAGGGCACGGGUCCCCUGGCUUGACCUCAUCAUCGAUCCCGGGUCCCGCAACCUGUCCGCAAAGCCUGGGCUUGUGGCUCAGCGGCACCCCAGCUGGGGAAUCGCCUGCCUGAGCCGACACGUGGAGAGGCCCUGGUCCAAGAGGAAGUAGGAGACCUCGGCGCUCCACAAACGGCGGCGAGAAACAAUCUUAGAAUAUUUGCUUCCUUUGUUUAAAUAAUGAGAAAAAGUCAUCACUACCUGCUGUGUACAAGUGAGGACACGAAGGGGGCUACAGUGCACUCCCGUACCAGACACGCUCCUUCCCAGGAACGCACCGGACCCGCUCGGCUUCCAGGAAACCCCCGGAGGCGCCCUCGCGCUCCAGCACCGCCCGCCGCGCAGCUGCUCUCCCAGGCCGGGUCUCCUGGCGCAAUGCCAGACUGCCUCCUCCGCUCCUCGGCAGUAGGCGUCCACGUCCGCGAGCGUCCACUUACCUCGUCCUUGCCCUCCCCGUAGGUCAGGCGACCCGUCCCAUCCAACACUUAGGGCCAUCUGACUUACGGCGCCCCUUCGAGGAUUUGUCUCGGACGCCCAAACCCCGUAACUCCGUCCCUUCUGCCACCACUU
rnacentral:lncRNA from 1 species